rnacentral:rRNA from 1 species
UACGGAGGGUGCAAGCGUUAUCCGGAUUUAUUGGGUUUAAAGGGUCCGUAGGCGGAUCUGUAAGUCAGUGGUGAAAUCUCACAGCUUAACUGUGAAACUGCCAUUGAUACUGCAGGUCUUGAGUGUUAUUGAAGUAGCUGGAAUAAGUAGUGUAGCGGUGAAAUGCAUAGAUAUUACUUAGAACACCAAUUGCGAAGGCAGGUUACUAAGCAACAACUGACGCUGAUGGACGAAAGCAUGGGGAGCGAACAGG